CCUAAGGUUUGUGGGUGCAUACCCAGCUGUUUCCUGUGUGGUGAUUUUAUCCCCAACUAAUACACCAGCUGGUGGGGUUUUAUUUCCUUGUUGACUUUUUUUGCUACUACCUGGGGAGUCGUGGUAACUGUAAACAAAGAUUUAGAAGACUAACAAAGUGUCAGGCGCCAAUGCGGUGGACUCUGUGCAGAAAACAGAACUUACUGAAAGAUGACUGUUGAAAGAAUAUGAUCAGAACCUGGCAGGUGCCCAGUUUAUUAUACUCAGCAGCUCUGACCAAAGAAAGAGAAGAGUAAAUACCAAACCCAAGGGCAGUUGCACACUCCCAAGGAACAUGUGGCUUCACUCCUCAACAAGUUCAGUAAACAGUGUUGGAGAGAAUACUAACAGUUUUAACCAAGUAUGAAGACGGGUAAGAUCUCACUUGUUCUAAGAUUUCCUGAAAUCAUCCAGGUGAAAACAGCAUCUCUUGCCAUCACGAGCCACCAGUGACAGAUGGUGGCUUCUCUCUCUGUCGUGUUCUGCAGCAACCCGUCUUCCCCCCCUUGUGAUUCUGUGGACACAGCUGACUUUUGAAAGAAUCAUUUUCUCCUACAUGUAUUUUGAGUUGUUAUCAUCUCUGCAUAUGAUUGCUUUCUAUCUCCUGGAGAUUCUGCACAAUUUAUGUUCCUCUGCCGGAAACCUUUAUUUAUUUUUUUAUAUACUAUUAUGGAUUAUUUUCAUCAAUUUUUCUUUCAUUGCAAAAGUUUUACAAUGGGAGUAGACGUCGAUACUCAGUUUGUAAAUUGAUAUAAUUUUCAAUAACCCAUUACAUAUGAUUUUUUUUUGUAUAUCCAGCAACACAAAGUUGGCUCUCAA